CAAAAACAUGUCUUUUAGAAUUGAAUUUAAAGUCGGACCUGCCCACUGAAUAAUUGAAUGGCCGCAGUAUUUUAACUGUGCAAAGGUAGCAUAAUCAUUAGCUUUUUAAUUGAAGGCUUGUAUGAAUGGUUGGACAAGAUAUAUAUUGUUUCAUAUAAAUUUAUAGAAUUUUAUUUUUUAGUUAAAAAGCUAAAAUUUGAUUAAAAGACGAGAAGACCCUAUAGAUCUUUAUAAUUAUUAAAUUUUAUUUAUUAAGAAUAUUUUAUAUUUAAUUUAUAUAAUUAUUUUAUUGGGGUGAUAGUAAGAUUAAUUUAACUCUUAUAUAGUUAAGCCAUAAAUUAAUGAUUAAUUUGAUCCAGUAUUAUUGAUUAAUAAAAUAAGUUACCUUAGGGAUAACAGCGUAAUUUUUUUAGAGAGUUCAUAUCGAUAAAAAAGAUUGCGACCUCGAUGUUGGAUUAAGAGAUAAGUUUGGGCGCAGCCGUUCAAAUUUAAAGUCUGUUCGACUUUUUAAUUCUUACAUGAUCUGAGUUCAAACCGGA
rnacentral:rRNA from 1 species